CAGCAGCCGCGGUAAUACGUAGGGUGCAAGCGUUAAUCGGAAUUACUGGGCGUAAAGCGUGCGCAGGCGGUUAGAUAAGCCAGAUGUGAAAUCCCCGAGCUCAACUUGGGAACCGCGUUUGGAACUGUUUAACUAGAGUGCGUCAGAGGGGGGUAGAAUUCCGCGUGUAGCAGUGAGAUGCGUAGAGAUGCGGAGGAACACCGAUGGCGAAGGCAGCCCCCUGGGAUGACACUGACGCUCAUGCACGAAAGCGUGGGGAGCAAACAGGAUUAGAUACCCCUGUAGUCCCUGUCUCUUAUAC
rnacentral:rRNA from 1 species